rnacentral:rRNA from 1 species
AUUGAACGCUGGCGGCAUGCCUUACACAUGCAAGUCGAACGGCAGCACGGGAGCAAUCCUGGUGGCGAGUGGCGAACGGGUGAGUAAUAUAUCGGAACGUGCCCAGUCGUGGGGAUAACGUAGCGAAAGCUACGCUAAUACCGCAUACGAUCUAUGGAUGAAAGCGGGGGAUCGCAAGACCUCGCGCGAUUGGAGCGGCCGAUAUCAGAUUAGGUAGUUGGUGAGGUAAAGGCUCAUCAAGCCGACGAUCUGUAGCUGGUCUGAGAGGACGACCAGCCACACUGGGACUGAGACACGGCCCAGACUCCUACGGGAGGCAGCAGUGGGGAAUUUUUGGACAAUGGGCGCAAGCCUGAUCCAGCAAUGCCGCGUGCAGGAUGAAGGCC